rnacentral:rRNA from 1 species
GAUGAACGCUGGCGGCGUGCCUAAUACAUGCAAGUAGAACGCUGAAGGAGGAGCUUGCUCUUCUGGAUGAGUUGCGAACGGGUGAGUAACGCGUAGGUAACCUGCCUGGUAGCGGGGGAUAACUAUUGGAAACGAUAGCUAAUACCGCAUGACAACAGUUCUUGCAUGAUAACUGUUUAAAAGGGGCAACUGCUCCACUACCAGAUGGACCUGCGUUGUAUUAGCUAGUUGGUGAGGUAACGGCUCACCAAGGCGACGAUACAUAGCCGACCUGAGAGGGUGAUCGGCCACACUGGGACUGAGACACGGCCCAGACUCCUACGGGAGGCAGCAGUAGGGAAUCUUCGGCAAUGGACGGAAGUCUGACCGAGCAACGCCGCGUGAGUGAAGAAGGUUUUCGGAUCGUAAAGCUCUGUUGUAAGAGAAGAACGAGUGUGAGAGUGGAAAGUUCACACUGUGACGGUAUCUUACCAGAAAGGGACGGCUAACUACGUG